UACAGAGGUCUCAAGCGUUGCUCGGAUUCAUUGGGCGUAAAGGGUGCGUAGGUGGUGGGGUAAGUCGGAUGUGAAAUCCCGGGGCUCAACCCCGGAACUGCAUUCGAUACUGCCUUGCUCGAGUACUGGAGAGGAGACUGGAAUUUACGGUGUAGCAGUGAAAUGCGUAGAUAUCAGGAAGAACACCCGUGGCGAAGGCGGCUCUCUGGAACGCAACUGACGCUGAGACGCGAAAGCGUGGGGAGCAAACAGG
rnacentral:rRNA from 1 species